rnacentral:rRNA from 1 species
UACAGAGGGUGCGAGCGUUAAUCGGAAUUACUGGGCGUAAAGCGCACGUAGGCGGUUACUUAAGUCGGAUGUGAAAGCCCUUGGCUCAACUGAGGAAGUGCAUCCGAAACUGAGUAGCUAGAGUACGAAAGAGGGUCGCGGAAUUCCCGGUGUAGAGGUGAAAUUCGUAGAUAUCGGGAGGAACACCGGUGGCGAAGGCGGCGACCUGGGUCGAGACUGACGCUGAGGUGCGAAAGCGUGGGGAGCAAACAGG